UACGUAGGGCGCAAGCGUUAUCCGGAAUUAUUGGGCGUAAAGGGUGCGUAGGCGGUUCGGUAAGUUUCGUGUGAAAUCUUCGGGCUCAACUCGAAGCCUGCACGAGAUACUGCCGGGCUUGAGUGUGGGAGAGGUGAGUGGAAUUUCCGGUGUAGCGGUGAAAUGCGUAGAUAUCGGAAGGAACACCUGUGGCGAAAGCGGCUCACUGGACCACAACUGACGCUGAGGCACGAAAGCUAGGGGAGCAAACAGG
rnacentral:rRNA from 1 species